UUGGAGGGCAAGUCUGGUGCCAGCAGCCGCGGUAAUUCCAGCUCCAAUAGCGUAUAUUAAAGUUGUUGCAGUUAAAAAGCUCGUAGUUGAGUUUCGGGAUCAAUACGUCGGUCAUGCUUUUUGGUACGAACUGGCGUCAUUGGUUUCUCCUUUCUGACGAACCAUGAUGUCAUUAAUUUGGUGUUAUGGGGAGUUGGGACUGUUACUUUGAAAAAAUUAGAGUGUUUAAAGCAGGCAUAAGCUUGAAUACAUUAGCAUGGAAUAAUGAAAUAGGACGUUCGAUCCUAUUUUGUUGGUUUCUAGGAUCAACGUAAUGAUUAAUAGGGAUAGUUGGGGGCAUUAGUAUUCAAUUGUCAGAGGUGAAAUUCUUGGAUUUAUUGAAGACUAACUACUGCGAAAGCAUUUGCCAAGGAUGUUUUCAUUAAUCAAGAACGAAAGUUAGGGGAUCGAAGACGAUCAGAUACCGUCGUAGUCUUAACCAUAAACUAUGCCGACUAGGGAUCGGAUGAUGUUAAUUUUUUAAUGACUCAUUCGGCGCCUUACGGGAAAC
rnacentral:rRNA from 1 species